CCUAACUGAGCAAUCAGCGAUGUAUUUAGUGUUAUUACUGCUUAUUCUACUACCAGGUUUAUUUCUGUGCGCCUCUGUUCAACAAAUUGAAACACAAGUGUCACCUAAAGAAGGAGAGAGUGUAACACUGAGCUGUACCUGUGAGACCAGCAAUGACCGCAUAUACCUUUACUGGUACCGUCUGUAUCGGAACCGAGCACCUCAGUACAUUCUGUUCAAAGGAGCCAGGUCCUGGUCUGGAUACAGUAACACCGCAGAGUUUGCUCAGCAGAGGUUUUCUUCAACAGCAGAUGACACAUCUACAACCCUGACCAUCACACAGACCUCCCUGUCAGACUCUGCCAUCUAUUACUGCGCCCUUUGGGAACCCACAGUGUGGGAAUGUAAUGAGACACCCGUAUAAAAACGAGCGACACCCGUGUCAGUGCGUGACAUCCACUAUCUGAUGUGUUUUUGUAAACUCCCUUUACUGGAAUAUUUAAGAGAAGAAAGACGCCUGUUAACAAAAACUCUUGCCAAACAGUAACAUUUUAUUUCUUAAGAACUGUAUUUGACAGAGAACGCACGUACUCAACUAGUCUCUGUCAUAAAGAUGUGCUUCUAACUUUAAUAAACUGGAGUGGUAUGACUCAAGAAUUGAACAAUCUGAGAAACAUGAGGUAGACUAUGGUACUGAUAUGGAGAUUUCAAGUCUCAGUUUUAAAGCCUAGUCCAGAUUUUGCCGGCUGUGUGGGGGAGAGGGAGAGGAAAGAAAACAGUAAACAGUAUUUAUUAUGGUUCUGAAGAAAAGCAGCGUUUUCAGAUGUUACAAUUACAGAAAAAUAACUAAUUUUAGUUGAAAAUGCGUUGUCUUGAUAAAAAAUAAAAAACUAUGUGCAACAAUGGGUCUUAAUUCUGAGAAAGUGAAAACUGUCUCCCACAUUCCCCACUAAGUGUAUUAUGGGUUUGUCAUAUCCUACCCAAGUCACACAUUCAGGGAAAAUGUACUGUUCUAACAGACGCACAAGACUGCAAUGUUGUUGCACACAAGCACACUUAUCUGCCAUGUAGGAAUGAAUAAGGGGGUGAUAACUUAUUUUCAUAAAAGACAAUUUUGGUAGAAAGUUCAGAUUUAUUGCAGUGCCGUUUAUUGAAUUGAUUACAGUAAUCAGCCCAAUAAGCAAUAAAUAAGAAA